rnacentral:rRNA from 1 species
UACGUAGGCAGCGAGCGUUGUCCGGAAUUACUGGGCGUAAAGAGCUCGUAGGUGGUUUGUCGCGUUGUUCGUGAAAACCGGGGGCUUAACCCUCGGCGUGCGGGCGAUACGGGCGGACUGGAGUACUGCAGGGGAGACUGGAAUUCCUGGUGUAGCGGUGGAAUGCGCAGAUAUCAGGAGGAACACCGGUGGCGAAGGCGGGUCUCUGGGCAGUAACUGACGCUGAGGAGCGAAAGCGUGGGGAGCGAACAGG